rnacentral:rRNA from 1 species
AUUGAACGCUGGCGGCAUGCCUUACACAUGCAAGUCGAACGGCAGCACGGGAGCAAUCCUGGUGGCGAGUGGCGAACGGGUGAGUAAUGUAUCGGAACGUGCCCAGUCGUGGGGGAUAACGUAGCGAAAGUUACGCUAAUACCGCAUACGAUCUAUGGAUGAAAGCGGGGGAUCGCAAGACCUCGCGCGAUUGGAGCGGCCGAUAUCAGAUUAGGUAGUUGGUGGGGUAAAGGCCCACCAAGCCGACGAUCUGUAGCUGGUCUGAGAGGACGACCAGCCACACUGGGACUGAGACACGGCCCAGACUCCUACGGGAGGCAGCAGUGGGGAAUUUUGGACAAUGGGCGAAAGCCUGAUCCUGCCAUGCCGCGUGCAGGAUGAAGGCCUUCGGGUUGUAAACUGCUUUUGUACGGAACGAAAAGGACUGCCCUAAUACGGUGGUCCCAUGACGGUACCGUAAGAAUAAGCACCGGCUAACUACGCGCCAGCCGCCGCAGUAA